rnacentral:rRNA from 1 species
UAGGGAAUCUUCGGCAAUGGACGAAAGUCUGACCGAGCAACGCCGCGUGAGUGAAGAAGGUUUUCGGAUCGUAAAACUCUGUUGUUAGAGAAGAACAAGGACGUUAGUAACUGAACGUCCCCUGACGGUAUCUAACCAGAGAGCCACGGCUAACUACGUGCCAGCAGCCGCGGUAAUACGUAGGUGGCAAGCGUUGUCCGGAUUUAUUGGGCGUAAAGCGAGCGCAGGCGGUUUCUUAAGUCUGAUGUGAAAGCCCCCGGCUCAACCGGGGAGGGUCAUUGGAAACUGGGAGACUUGAGUGCAGAAGAGGAGAGUGGAAUUCCAUGUGUAGCGGUGAAAUGCGUAGAUAUAUGGAGGAACACCAGUGGCUAAGGCGGCUCUCUGGUCUGUAACUGACGCUAAGGCUCGAAAGCGUGGGGAGCAAACAGG